UGUGGCUCAGCGGUAGAGCGCUUGCCUAGCAUGUGCAAGGCCCUGGGUUCAAUCCCCAGCA
rnacentral:tRNA from 1 species